rnacentral:rRNA from 1 species
AGUCGAACGGCAGCGCGGACUUCGGUCUGGUGGCGAGUGGCGAACGGGUGAGUAAUGUAUCAGGGACGUGCUAAAGUAGCGGGGGAUAACUACGCGCAAGCGUAGCUAGCCACCACAUACGCCCUUCAAGGGAAAGCGGGGGACCUUCGGAGCCUCGCACUAUUAGAGAGCGGCCGAUAUCGGAUUAGCUAGUUGGUGGGGUAACGGCUCACCAAGGCGACGAUCCGUAGCUGGUUUGAGAGGACGACCGAAGCUGGGACUGGGGACUGCGGCCCAGACUCCUACGGGAGAACGGCAGUGAGGCUGGACAAUGGGGGAAACCCUGAUCCAGCUAUCCCGCGUGUGCGAUGAAGGCCUUCGGGUUGUAAAGCACUUUUUGGCCGGAAAGAAACUGGCACGGGAUAAUACCCCGUGCAGCCAGUACCUGCAGAAUAAGCACCGGCUAACUACGUGCCAGCAGCCGCAUUGGCCGUAAGUGCAAGCGUUAAUCGGAAUUGCGAAUAAAGCGUGCGCAGAGCGGUUCGGAAAGAAAGAUGUGAAAUCCCAGGCUUAACUUUGGAACUGCAUUUUUAACUACCGAGCUGGAGUGUGUCAGAGGGAGGUGGAGAUUCCACGCGUGUAGCAGUGAAAUGUAGAUAUGCGAGAGGAACACCGAUGGCGAAGGCAGCCUCCUGGGAUAACUUUGACGCUCAUGCACGAAAGCGUGAGGCAAACAGGAUUAGAUACCCUGGUAGUCCACGCCCUAAGCAGUGUCAACUAGCUGUUGGGGCCUUCGGGCCUUGGUAGCGCAGCUAACGCGUGGUUGACCGCCUGGGAAGUGCAGUCACUAAGAUUAAAACUCAAAGGAAUUGACGGGGACCCGCACAAGCGGUGGAUGAUGUGGAUUAAUUCGAUGCAGCACGAAAAACUAUACCCCACCCAUGGCAUGUGGAAUCCCGAAGAUUUGGGAGUGCUCGCAAGAGAACCGGAACACAGGUGCUGCGUGGCUGUGUCAGCUCGUGUCGUGAGAUGUUGGGUUAAGUCCCGCAACGGGCGCAACCCUUGUCAUUAGUUGCUACGAAGGGCACUCGUAAAGGGUGCCGGUGACAAACCGGAGGAAGGUGGGGAUGACGUCCGUCCUCAUGGCCCUUAUGGGUAGGGCUUCACACGUCAUACAAUGGUCGGGACAGAGGGUCGCCAACCCGCGAGGAGCCAAUCCCAGAAACCGAUCGUGAUCCGGAUCGCAGUCUGCAAUGAGCUUCAGUCGGAAUCGCCAAGUAAUCGCGGAUCAUAAUAGCGGUGGGCGUCACGUUCCGGGUCUUGUACACACCGCCCGUCACACCAUGGGAGUGGGUUUUACCAGAAGUAGUUAGCCUAACCGUAAGGAGGGCCGUUACCACCCGGUAGGAUUCAUGACUGGGGUGAAGUCGUAACUAAAGGUAG